CUGAAAAGAAUGAAAAAAUAAAAGUAAAAUUUUUAGUGCAACAAGAUUCUUUAGUGGAGUGGAUUUUAGUCUGGUUAACGACAGUGUGAAGCCUUCAAGAAUUGUUGCAAAUACAUAAAAUUUCAAAUGUCAGACCAAGACCAAGUAUUGCUCCAUUAAUAGACAGCAUCAUCAGAGUAAUCCAAGUCCCUGUUGGAGUCAGUCAGAGCAUUUCCAUAGAGAGCCACUUUGCAUCAGCAGCACCAUGCUCCAGUGCUCUGGGAGAGUUUAUAGUCCUGAGAGUUGAACACUGGAUGACUGACAGCUGUCCUUCAUGACAACAGAAGCCACAGAAAUCCUCCUCAUCAAAAACAUGACUUUGAUCUCCGUCCUCAUCUGGACUCUCCUCUGCUGCUGCUUCACAGAGUCCAGAGGCCAGGUCACAGUGACUCAGCCUGGAGCAGUGAGCUCUGCUCUGGGAGGCUCCGUCUCCAUCAGCUGUAGGACCAGUCAGAGUGUUUAUAUUUGGAAUCAACACCGUUUAGCCUGGUACCAACAGAGAGAUGGAGAAACUCCUAAACUCCUCAUUUACUUUGCUAGCACUCGAGCAUCAGGGAUUCCAGUUCGUUUUACAGGCAGUGGAUCAAACUCUGACUUCACUCUGACCAUCAGUGGAGUCCAGACUGAAGAUGCAGCAGUUUACUACUGUCAGAGUUAUCACUACAUCAACAGUCAGGAUUUGUUCACACAGUGA